GGGUUGUGAGGGUAAGCGACUAAGCGUACACGGUGGAUGCCCUGGCAGUCAGAGGCGAUGAAGGACGUGCUAAUCUGCGAUAAGCGUCGGUAAGGUGAUAUGAACCGUUAUAACCGGCGAUUUCCGAAUGGGGAAACCCAGUGUGAUUCGUCACACUAUCAUUAACUGAAUCCAUAGGUUAAUGAGGCGAACCGGGGGAACUGAAACAUCUAAGUACCCCGAGGAAAAGAAAUCAACCGAGAUUCCCCCAGUAGCGGCGAGCGAAAGGGGAGCAGCCCAGAGCCUGACUCAGAGUGUGUGUUAGUGGAAGCGUCUGGAAAGGCGCGCGAUA
rnacentral:rRNA from 1 species